AGGAUAAUAGUUAAAAAUAACAUUUAAUUUGCACUUAAAAAGUAUUGACAUGUCAAUUUAUCUUA
rnacentral:tRNA from 1 species